rnacentral:rRNA from 1 species
UCUUUUCCUUUUGUGCCCGCCGCCGCGGUAAUACGUAGGGGGCAAGCGUUAUCCGGAAUUACUGGGUGUAAAGGGAGCGUAGGCGGCAUGGUAAGUAAGAUGUGAAAGCCCGAGGCUUAACCUCGAGGAUUGCAUUUUAAACUAUCAAGCUAGAGUACAGGAGAGGAAAGCGGAAUUCCUAGUGUAGCGGUGAAAUGCGUAGAUAUUAGGAAGAACACCAGUGGCGAAGGCGGCUUUCUGGACUGAAACUGACGCUGAGGCUCGAAAGCGUGGGGAGCGAACAGG